CUCUUGGGUGGAAAAUGUCAUGCAUUGUGCCAGUGAAUGCGACGCCAAAUCCCAGAGUCCUCAACGACUACGGAACUGUGGCCCUGACCUCUCACGUCAUGAAGGCUUUUGAGAGUCUGAUCAUGGACUGCGCUCUCUGGUCAACCCCUUGGUCGACCUCCUCCAGUUUACAUAUCAACCCCAUCUAGGAGUGGAUGAUGUCAUCAAACAUCUGCUCCAUUGCACCUACAACCACCUGCAGCCUGGCACCUCAGUGAGGGUCUUUGAUUUCUCCAGUGCAUUUACCACUAUCCAGUCUGUGGUGCUGGGAGAGAAACUGAAGGACAUGCAGCUGGAGCCCCCCUAAGCUCAUGGAUCAUGGACCACCUCACCAACCACCCCCAGUACGUCCGCCUGCAGAACUGUGUGUCUGACACCGUGGCUGCAGCACAGGAGCUCCACAGGGGACCGUCCUGUCUCCUUCCUCUUCACCCUGUACACUUCAGACUUCAGAGGAGCAACAGUGAAGCUGCGGAAGCUGCGGCAUCAUCAAGACAAUCUACAUGGUCAUGAGUAAAGUGAAGAUUGCUGCAUACUGUGGGAAUGAAAACAGAGAAUGAAAUCAUCAAUCCUUAAAUUAAACACCAGUAUUACAUCACUGAUUUAUUUACUUGUCUUUUUUUAAAUGUCAAUAAAACUGUUCUUUGAAAACAAGUAAUAAUAAAAAUAAGCUUAAGGAUAA